GGUGGGUGGGGUCACCGUUUGCGCAGGUACUUGGAGCCCUGGGAAGGAACAGAUCGUCCCCCUCUAGACUCCUAUUCAUCAAGACGCCCCAAAAGGCGAAAAGCUGGGGUCCCUGCUGCAGGAACGGACGCCCACCUCCCGGCAACAGCGAGGGCCCCGAGCCCACCUUGGCAGCGUUUGGGGAGAGCCCGACGGGCUGAGAGCGCUCGGACAAACCAGGGGAAACAGCCGUCGGGUGAGCUCAAUGAAGAAUUUUGGCAGUAUAACACCUUCCAGUACUGGAGGAAUCCUUUACCACCGAUUGAUCUGGCAGACAUUGAAGCUAUAAGUGAAGAUAACCUUACAGAAGCAAGGCUUCAGGGCAAGAAUGAAGUGGUUGAGAUUGACAUGGAGUCCUGACAGAGGAGCUGAAGAAAUAGGUUUUUCUGAAUUUGAAAUUCUAAAUGAAUUUAUGUAUUCUUAGGAAAAAAGUUAUUUUCCAUAUUUUAUGUGAUUUCAUUCCCAAACCUGAAAAAUGAGGAAAAGUUGUUUUAAAGAUAAAUGCCUGCGGUCACUACUGAAACUCCCAAUAGGAUUUGUCAAUAAUAGACUGCAGUUAUAGGGGAAGUGUUUUAUGUAUAUGUUCUUAAAGAAAAAUUUAUGUUUAGGUUCUAAAUUUGAAGAUGUCAAUAUUAUAAAUAGGAAUUCUGACAGUUUAAGAAAUUGGAAACACUCAAAUAGCCCUCUGCAACAAAAUGUUAAUUUGUGGCACAUGAAAUGAAUGUUUUAUAAUAACUUAAUAAAAUGCUUUUUAAUAUACUUUAUUGACUCUUCCUAGUUGAACAAAUAGCCGACCUAAACAUCUAUGCAAACUUAAAAUGUGGGGGAUUUUUCUGAAAGCUGGUGUUGAUUUAAAACAGCUGUCUUUAAAAAAGAGCUUUCUAAAUGUAAAGUAGUGAGAAUUUCAAUGUGGAUAGCAUGUUUGCAUUAACUUCUAAUAUUUGAUGUUUGUUAAACUCUACUUUGAACUAUCAAAAAUGGAUGAAGAAAUGAGAAAUGAGCAGGUGCUUCCCUCCCCGCUUUCCCAAGAUAAAUGAAAGAAAUUCAUUGUAUUUCUUUUUUUAAAAAUGUCUUAGUUUUGAAUUGCCUUGAGGGCAUGGUUUUUAUUAAAUUGUUCUUAUGUGGCCCUUACAUGUAGCUGUUUUUUUAAAGCACCAAUUCUUCUUCCUCCCUGCAUUCCAGACAGGUUUGAGGACCACUAACUAAAGGUAGUUUUUCCUGUUGAAAGGAAAUAACUAAUUUGAGCUGAAGCAAUGCCUCUUAAUUAGCUUUGUUUUUAUUUUACCCUAUUGAUGGCUUUGUUACAACGAAAUUAUUCUGUAGUUACUAUUACAUUGUUAAAGUAAGCAGUUUGUGUUUGAGUUAUAUGAAUAUCAGUGAUUAAGUUAAUUAACUUGUAUUGUAUUCUAGAAUGUUGGCUUUUUAAUUGAGUAAGUUGUCCUUGUAUAUUUUUUGUUAAUGAUAUUCAAAAUUCAGGAAGGAUGAUAAAUGCCAGUGAGAGGGAAAAAGAACGUUUCGUGUGUACUGUAGGAUUUAAAUAUGGUUGACGUUAAUAAGAAUUUUAUAGAACAGAAGGCAAACUGUAUAGUAUUGUGGUUAAGAGUUAAGACUUUGGAGUCAGACAUGGUUCAAAGUCUUGUACUGCCACUUUCUACCUGUGUAACAUUAAGCAGGUUAUUUUUCAUCUCUAAACCCCAGCUUCCUUGGUUGUAAAAUAAGAAACAAUAAAUAGUAUCUACCUCAGAGACACUAUGUUUAUUGUCAAAUGAUGUACUGAGUACUUUACCUGCAUCAUCUUGUUUAAUUUCAUAAUAUUCUUGUUGUAGGUACAAAAAAAAAAUUAGAAUAAAUGUGCUUUCUAUAGUU